rnacentral:lncRNA from 1 species
UAUGUUAAGCAAUCGUAAUUGGACUUAUGUAGAAGUCACAACUAUCUGAGGCCGGUCAAUAAUAAUGUAGGCAAACAACACAAGUUAGAAGUCUUGAUUAGUGAACCAAGUUCCAACAAGCAAUCGUAAUUGGACUUAUGUAGAAGUCACAACUAUCUGAGGCCGGUCAAUAAUAAUGUAGGCAAACAACACAAGUUAGAAGUCUUGAUUAGUGAACCAAGUUCCAACAACUUGCCAUGCCAAAAUGAAGAAGAGAAUUGAUCUUGUAUUGGUUUAAGUCUUUUGCAUGAUUUAGGAAGCAACAUAUCCUUAAUGCAAAAGCAUUCACUUGAUCAUUUGAUCAAGAUGAAUUAGAUUUGAAUCAAGGAAGAUUAAACCUCCCUAAUCAAUGCUAACUUAUCAACCUUCA